AUAACCCGGAGAAAUCCGGCCUAAUACCGCGUAACACCUUUUGGGAGCAUUCCCGGGAGGUUAAAGGAGAGAUCCGGCAUAGGAUGGACAUGCGUCGCAUUAGGUAGACGGCGGGGUAACGGCCCACCGUGCCGACGAUGCGUAGGGGUUCUGAGAGGAAGGCCCCCCACACUGGUACUGAGACACGGACCAGACUCCUACGGGAGGCAGCAGUGAGGAAUAUUGGUCAAUGGCCGAGAGGCUGAACCAGCCAAGUCGCGUGAGGGAAGAAUGUCCUAAGGAUUGUAAACCUCUUUUGUCGGGGAGCAAAAAGGCUCUGCGGAGUCGUAUUGAGAGUACCCGAAGAAAAAGCAUCGGCUAACUCCGUGCCAGCAGCCGCGGUAAUACGGAGGAUGCGAGCGUUAUCCGGAUUUAUUGGGUUUAAAGGGUGCGCAGGCGGCGUGUCAAGCAAGCGGUAAAAUAGCGGGGCUCAACCCCGUCGAGCCGUUUGAACUGGCGCGCUUGAGUUCAGGCGAGGUAGGCGGAAUUCGUGGUGUAGCGGUGAAAUGCAUAGAUAUCACGAAGAACUCCGAUUGCGAAGGCAGCUUACCAGUCUGCGACUGACGCUCAGGCACGAAAGUGUGGGUAUCGAACAGGAUUAGAUACCCUGGUAGUCCACACAGUAAACGAUGAGCGCUAGGUGUCCGGGUCGCAUGAGACUUGGGUG
rnacentral:rRNA from 1 species